GACAGAGGGUGCAACCGUUGUUCGGAAUUACUGGGCGUAAAGCGUGUGUAGGCGGCUACGUAAGUCGGAUGUGAAAGCCCCGGGCUCAACCCGGGAAGUGCACUCGAUACUGCGUAGCUCGAGUAUCGGAGAGGUUGGUGGAAUUCUCGGUGUAGAGGUGAAAUUCGUAGAUAUUGGGAAGAACACCGGUGGCGAAGGCGGCGCUCUGGACCGAGACUGACGCUGAGGCGCGAAAGCGUGGGGAGCAAACAGG
rnacentral:rRNA from 1 species